rnacentral:rRNA from 1 species
UACGUAGGGGGCAAGCGUUGUCCGGAAUCAUUGGGCGUAAAGGGCGCGUAGGCGGCCUGCUAAGUCGAACGUGAAAUCCCUGGGCUCAACCCAGGAACUGCGUCCGAUACUGGUUGGCUUGAAUCCGGGAGAGGGAUGUGGAAUUCCAGGUGUAGCGGUGAAAUGCGCAGAUAUCAGGAGGAACACCGACGGCGAAGGCAGCACUCUGGGCCGGUACUGACGCUGAGGAGCGAAAGCAUGGGGAGCGAACAGG